rnacentral:lncRNA from 1 species
UGUUGCUUUGUACAUAAUAGGGACAUUGGUGUGGAAUAUCUUUUCUACUGGAGAGAAAGUUCUUGACUGAAGAUUUCAUGCCAAGGAAAGUGUAGCCUUUUUAGCCAUUGAAAUAUAGAAACGGAUGGAACAGUAAUCAGAUUACCAAACAUGUCUUGGAAGAUUAAACACCCUCAAAAAGUAGAAAAGAAAGAGACACCAUGGAAGUUUUCACCAUAAACCAUGGCCUUUGAUAAAAUAGUGUCUCCAAGAAGAAAUCUUGGAUUAAUUUUGCUCCUUUUCCUCAACACUCCUCUACAGUGAGUUUGUUUCUAAAAUGAGUAAGUAAAGGUACCCUUAUAUUUUAGUAAGAUAAGCUUAGAAUACACUUUAAAUUAAGUCAAUAUUAGAUACAUUUUUACUUGCUUACUUUAUAGCCAAACUCAGUAAUAAACUCAUUUACUGGUCCUUUUCCCUUUUGCCCAUGCCUUUGUUCCAUGAACUCAAGUGCUUUCUGUAUAGAAAGUCAGUGGACUGUUUCCUCAUGUCAAACCUCAUCUAAGCAUACACAAGCUCAGAUUAUACAUGUUAAUUAGAUUAUUCAGCUAUCUCUCUAACAAGGACAUCUUUAUCUUUAUCUUUUUCAUUUUAUCAAUGUUUUAAAAAAUAACUGGCCA